rnacentral:rRNA from 1 species
AUGAACGCUGGCGGCGUGCCUAAUACAUGCAAGUCGAGCGAACAGACGAGGAGCUUGCUCCUCUGACGUUAGCGGCGGACGGGUGAGUAACACGUGGAUAACCUACCUAUAAGACUGGGAUAACUUCGGGAAACCGGAGCUAAUACCGGAUAAUAUAUUGAACCGCAUGGUUCAAUAGUGAAAGACGGUUUUGCUGUCACUUAUAGAUGGAUCCGCGCCGCAUUAGCUAGUUGGUAAGGUAACGGCUUACCAAGGCGACGAUGCGUAGCCGACCUGAGAGGGUGAUCGGCCACACUGGAACUGAGACACGGUCCAGACUCCUACGGGAGGCAGCAGUAGGGAGUCUUCCGCAAUGGGCGAAAGCCUGACGGAGCAACGCCGCGUGAGUGAUGAAGGUCUUCGGAUCGUAAAACUCUGUUAUUAGGGAAGAACAAAUGUGUAAGUAACUAUGCACGUCUUGACGGUACCUAAUCAGAAAGCCACGGCUAACUACGUG